CCCUUAGAUGUCCUGGGCCGCACGCGCGCUAUACUGACACAUUCAACAAGUUCUAUCCUGGCCCGGAAGGGUUUCGGGUAAUCUUGAUAGUAUGUGUCGUGCUAGGGAUCGAUCUUUGGAAUUAUAGAUCUUGAACGAAGAAUUCCUAGUAAGUGCAAGUCAUCAGCUUGUACUGAUUACGUCCCUGCCCUUUGUACACACCGCCCGUCGCUCCUACCGAUUGAAUGAUCCGAUGAAUAUCAUGGACUGAGAGUGUUAGAGUUUUCGGACUUCUACACUUCUCGGGAAGUGAAGUGAAUCUUAUCAUUUAGAGGAAGGAGAAGUCGUAACA
rnacentral:rRNA from 1 species